rnacentral:rRNA from 1 species
UACGAAGGGGGCUAGCGUUGUUCGGAAUUACUGGGCGUAAAGCGCGCGCAGGCGGUUCUUUUAAGUCAGGGGUGAAAGCCCAGAGCUCAACUCUGGAAUUGCCUUUGAAACUAGAGAACUUGGGUACGGGAGAGGUGAGUGGAAUUCCGAGUGUAGAGGUGAAAUUCGUAGAUAUUCGGAAGAACACCAGUGGCGAAGGCGGCUCACUGGCCCGUUACCGACGCUCAGGCGCGACAGCGUGGGGGAGCAAACAGG